GCCAUUUUCUUUAAAGAUCUAAGAGCUGGAGUUGCUCCAAACCUACCUUCUUUCAUCCAUCCAUCCAGAAAGGCUCAGAAAUCUACCUAUGACUAGUCUCAAAAUCCAUAAAUCAUUACAGGACUACUGGGUCCCUGAGGAAACCCAUAUAUGCUAAAAAGAAAUGUCAACUACAUCCAAUGAGGUUUCAGAGAAGAAAAUAUGUCAAAGAGAACUUCAUAACUGUGUCUUCAAGGAAGUCUGGGACUUUAAAAAAUGGAGAACACCUUGUUGACAGAGUGAGCAGGAUGAGUAAAUACACAAAGCACAAAGAUGAGAACAAGUUGUGCACACUUGGGAAUUGUGCUCAAGAUGCAAAACUGGAAAAAUACAGAUACAAGGAAAUUAAUUGCCAUUAAACCCUCAGUCAAAGAGAACCACGGCUGACAUUUUGACUUUGGUGUGUCAAACCUUAUUUGAGGUGGAAACAACAAAAAAUCAAGGCAAUGCACACCCUCAAAAUAAAAUACAUCUCCAGUCCAGUCAUAUCCAAAUUACCUCAUUUCGUUAUUCAAAAAGAAGAGACAGUGAAGGGAUGUAAUGUAAUUCAACUAGGUGGGAAAAGAGGAGGAAAUAAGCCAUAAGAGAUUCUUAAAGACAGAGAACAAACUAAAGGUUGAUGGAGGCAGGUACUAUGCUAACCUCAGGAAUGCAGCCACAAACAUGACCCCGUUCUCAUGGAAACUGCACUACAGAAGACACACUGAAAUGAACAAAAAUUAUGUAAUUAUUCAAUCACAAUUACAAUAAAAGCAAUAAA